rnacentral:rRNA from 1 species
GCUUGUCUCAAAGAUUAAGCCAUGCAUGUCUCAGUAUAAGUUCCUGUACGGCGAAACUGCGAAUGGCUCAUUAAAACAGUUACAGUUUAUUUGAUGGUCGUUCCUUACAUGGAUAACUGUGGUAAUUCUAGAGCUAAUACAUGCACCCGUGCCCGACUUUGUGGAAGGGCGGUAUUUAUUAGAUAACAAGCCAAUAUUCCUCCGGGUCUAUUGUGGUGAUUCAUAAUAACUGAUCGAAUCGCAAGGCCUUUGGCCGCGAUAAGUCAUUCAAGUUUCUGCCCCAUCAGCUUUCGAUGGUAGUGUAUUGGACUACCAUGGCGUUCACGGGUAACGGAGAAUUAGGGUUCGAUUCCGGAGAGGGAGCCUGAGAAACGGCUACCACAUCUAAGGAAGGCAGCAGG